ensembl:snRNA U6 U6 spliceosomal RNA
GUAUUCACUUGGGCAGCACAUAUACUAAAACUGCAGCAAUACAGAGAAGAUUAGCAUGGCCCCUGCACAAGGAUGACAUGCAAAUUCGUGAAGCGUUCCAUAUUUUU